rnacentral:miRNA from 1 species
UUAAGUUGGUGCAAAAGUAAUUGUGGUUUUUGUCAUUAAAAGUAACUGCAAAAACCACAAUUACUUUUGCAUCAACCUAAUA